rnacentral:rRNA from 1 species
AUUGAACGCUGGCGGCAGGCCUAACACAUGCAAGUCGAGCGGAUGAAGGGAGCUUGCUCCUGGAUUCAGCGGCGGACGGGUGAGUAAUGCCUAGGAAUCUGCCUGGUAGUGGGGGAUAACGUCCGGAAACGGGCGCUAAUACCGCAUACGUCCUGAGGGAGAAAGUGGGGGAUAUUCGGACCUCACGCUAUCAGAUGAGCCUAGGUCGGAUUAGCUAGUUGGUGGGGUAAAGGCCUACCAAGGCGACGAUCCGUAACUGGUCUGAGAGGCUGAUCAGCCACACUGGAACUGAGACACGGUCCAGACUCCUACGGGAGGCAGCAGUAGGGAAUAUUGGACAAUGGGCGAAAGCCUGAUCCAGCAAUGCCGCGUGUGUGAAGAAGGUCUUCGGAUUGUAAAGCUCUUUAAGUUGGGAGGAAGGGCAGUAAGUUAAUACCUUGCUGUUUUGACGUUACCAACAGAGAAAGCACCGGCUAACUUCGUG